CCCCCGGUACCGAGCACGGGCAAUUCCCCUCCACAUGCAGAGACUUUGGAGCCGAAUUGUGCUGAAUAGAGAAGGCUCCGGCUGAGCGAGCCAUGUGUGCCCGGGAGGAGCAGCCACUCUGAGAAGCAAUGCACACUGAAGUGUCCUUCUACUGAUCAUGGAAGAAACUCUUCUGUGAUGCUUGCCUGGGUUUCAGAUGUCUGGACAUGCUGCACCUGUGGAACAUAUGAGCCUUUCUAGUGCACUUCGAAGCUUGGCCAACUGGAAGCAGGAGCUGUAGCAAAAUGCUGUGGAGCCUGUUUGGAAGCUGACUCCAGCACAGGAAUUGAAAUAAAUGAAUUUGGCAUCUAAAAGGAGGUUUUGUG
rnacentral:lncRNA from 1 species